UUCAGAUGAAGUUCUUUUGCGAUGAGAACAGGCUCGUCCUCUUCACGCAACUAACAAUCUCCCAAGGCUGAGAAAUGCCACUACAAACAGCUGAUGGUUGAGCAUACCUCAUGGACCCCCCAAAAAUCUUGGGAGGAGAUUUUAUAGGUGCAGUUUAUACCUCUAAGUAGGUACAAUGCAUUUAGGUGAAAACAUCCUGAAAUAUGUACUAGAUCGAAGAAGAUUAUCCUUGGUUUGCUACGAGCAAAAAACUCACUAGAAGGUGAACUAAGGAGGCUAAGAAGACUA
rnacentral:lncRNA from 1 species